AUCUUGUAUUUCACGUUAAAU
rnacentral:snRNA from 1 species